UCAGACGAUGCGUCAUGCAUAUCAAUAAGCGGAGGAAAAGAAACUAACAAGGAUUCCCCUAGUAACGGCGAGUGAAGCGGGAAGAGCUCAAAUUUGAAAUCUUAAAGGGUUUCCCUUUACGAAUUGUAGUUUAAAGAAGUGUUUUCUGUUGAGGUUUUGGUAAAAGUUCUUUGGAAUAGGACAUCAUAGAGGGUGAGAAUCCCGUAUUUGACCUUUACUUUCAACUUUGUGAUACACUUUCAAAGAGUCGGAUUGUUUGGGAAUGCAGUCCAAAAUGGGUGGUAAAUUUCAUCUAAAGCUAAAUAUUGGCGAGAGACCGAUAGCGAACAAGUACCGUGAGGGAAAGAUGAAAAGAACUUUGAAAAGAGAGUUAAACAGUACGUGAAAUUGUCAAAAGGGAAGCGUUUGACACCAGUGUUGUUUUUUCUGAAAAUCAAUUAAAGAACUGUUUAUGCUAAGUUGUUUAGACUUUAUCAGCUAACUGUUUAGUUUUGAGCUUUUCUUUAAUGCACUUUUCAGUUAACAAGUCAACAUCAAUUUCUUUUGCUGUAAAAAAGCUCGAGGAAGGUGGCUUGAGAUUCGUCUUAAGUGUUUAUAGCCUCUUGCCUAUGCAGUCGGAGAGAUUGAGGUCUGCAGCGUAGAUCCUUCGGGGCUAAAUGCAUUUGUGCUAAGUUAUAGCAUUUUAUAGACAACUUGUUGACUAUGAUUUGUCUUGUAGCUUACUCGCUUAUGUUAUUUUACCUACGCUUAGGAUGUUGAGCGCAUGUCUCUCUCU
rnacentral:rRNA from 1 species